GGACUACAGGGGUUUCUAAUCCUGUUUGCUCCCCACGCUUUCGAGCCUCAACGUCAGUACACAGUCCAGUAAGCCGCCUUCGCCGCCGGUGUUCCUCCUGAUAUCUACGCAUUUCACCGCUACACCAGGAAUUCCGCUUACCUCUCCUGCACUCCAGCACAACAGUUUCCAUAGCACAUCAUGGGUUGAGCCCAUGCAUUUCACUACAGACUUAAUGUGCAGUCUGCGCUCCCUUUACACCCAGUAAAUCCGGAUAACGCUUGCCCCCUACGUAUUACCGCGGCUGCUGGCAC
rnacentral:rRNA from 1 species